GGAGAGAGUAUAGUUCAACAGUAGAGUGUGUGCCUAUCAUGCACGAGGUCCUGGGUUCAAGCCCCAGUACCUCCA